rnacentral:rRNA from 1 species
AUAUUUCGCAAUGGAGGAAACUCUGAGGCAGCGACGCCGCGUGAGCGAUGAAGGUCUUCGGAACGUAAAGCUCUGUCCUGGGGGAAGAAGAUCGAAAGAUUUGGCGGUACCCGGGGAGGAAGCUCCGGCUAACUACGUGCCAGCAGCCGCGGUAAUACGUAGGGGGCAAGCGUUGGCCGGAAUUAUUGGGCGUAAAGGGUUAGUAGGCGGAUUUUUAAGUCAGAUGUGAAAGACCACGGCUUAACCGUGGGGUUGCAUUUGAAACUGGAAGGCUUGAGUAUCGGAGAGGGUAGUGGAAUUCCCAGUGUAGCGGUGAAAUGCGUAGAUAUUGGGAGGAACACCAGUGGCGAAGGCGACUACCUGGACGAAAACUGACGCUGAUGCACGAAAGCUAGGGGAGCAAACAG